UGGGGAAUAUUGCACAAUGGAGGGAACUCUGAUGCAGCGACGCCGCGUGAACGAAGAAGGCUUUCGAGUCGUAAAGUUCUUUUAUAUGGGAAGAUAAUGACGGUACCAUAAGAAAAAGCCCCGGCUAACUACGUGCCAGCAGCCGCGGUAAUACGUAGGGGGCUAGCGUUGUCCGGAAUCACUGGGCGUAAAGGGUUCGCAGGCGGAAAUGCAAGUCAGGUGUAAAAGGCAGUAGCUUAACUACUGUAAGCAUUUGAAACUGCAUAUCUUGAGAAGAGUAGAGGUAAGUGGAAUUUUUAGUGUAGCGGUGAAAUGCGUAGAUAUUAAAAAGAAUACCGGUGGCGAAGGCGACUUGCUGGGCACAAUCUGACGCUGAGGAACGAAAGCGUGGGGAGCAAACAGG
rnacentral:rRNA from 1 species